rnacentral:rRNA from 1 species
GUCGAACGCUGGCGGCGUGCCUAAUACAUGCAAGUCGAACGCAGUGGGGACGGGUGAGUAACACGUGGGUAACCUCCCAUCAGAGGGGAUAACACUUGGAAACCGGUGCUAAACCGAUACUGAUGGAUGGACCAGCGGUGCAUUAGCUAGGUGGUGAGGUAACGGCUCACAAAGGCCACGAUGCCUAGGCGACCUGUGAGGGGGAGCGGCCACACUGGGACUGAGACACGGCCCAGACUCAUACGGGAGGCAGCAGUAGGGAAUCUUCGGCAAUGGACGAAAGUCUGACCGAGCAACGCCGCGUGAGUGAAGAAGGUUUUCGGAUAGUAAAACUCUUUUGUUAGAGAAGCGGUAUCUAACCAGAAAGCCACGGCUAAGUAAGUGCCAGCAGCCGAGGUAAUAC